GAAAUGCGAUAAGUAGUGUGAAUUGCAGAAUUCAGUGAAUCAUCGAAUCUUUGAACGCACAUUGCGCCCUUUGGUAUUCCUUAGGGCAUGCCUGUUCGAGCGUCAUCUAAACCUUCAAGCCCUGCUUGGUGUUGGGUGCCUGUCCCGCCUCCGCGCGCGGACUCACCUCAAAUCCAUUGGCGGCCCCCGCGUCGGCCACGAGCGCAUCAGAAACGCGAACUCGUGAGCCCGUCCGGGCGGCUCCCAGAAGCUACACCCACCCAGUUUGACCUCGGAUCAGGUAGGGAUACCCGCUGAACUUAAGC
rnacentral:misc_RNA from 1 species